rnacentral:rRNA from 1 species
CAGUCGCCGCGGUAAUACGUAGGUGGCAAGCGUUGUCCGGAAUUAUUGGGCGUAAAGGGCCCGCAGGCGGUUUCUUAAGUCUGAUGUGAAAGCCCCCGGCUCAACCGGGGAGGGUCAUUGGAAACUGGGAAACUUGAGUGCAGAAGAGGAGAGUGGAAUUCCACGUGUAGCGGUGAAAUGCGUAGAGACGUGGAGGAACACCAGUGGCGAAGGCGACUCUCUGGUCUGUAACUGACGCUGAGGAGCGAAAGCGUGGGGAGCGAACAGGAUUAGAUACCCCCGUAGUCCCUGUCUCUUAUAC